rnacentral:misc_RNA from 1 species
GUGAGUCAUCGAAUCUUUGAACGCAUAUUGCGCUCGAGGCCUCGGCCGAGAGCAUGUCUGCCUCAGCGUCGGUUUCACCCUCGCCAUGAGUUCCCCUGUUGCAGGCGGAUCUCACUGGCGGAGUUGACCGUCCUGCUGCCGUCUGGUGCAGCGGGUCGGUUGAAGCACAGCGGCUCCAGCAAACACCCACUCGGGCGCUGGCUAGGUAGGUAGCUUCGGCUGCAUGCCGCCAGACUGCCCCGGAUUUGCAUGGGAGCCUUCCUUUGAAACUUUCACUUUCGACCUGAGUUCAGGCAAGAG